rnacentral:rRNA from 1 species
CCAGGAUUCUCCUAGUAACGGCGAGUGAACGGAGAUUAGCCCAUCACCGAAGCCUGCGUGUGUUUGCAUGCUAGGCAAUGUGGUGUUUUAAGCUUGUACCUGGGAUCGUGUGCCUACCCGAAGUCUAAAUCCGAUUGUGGCUUUGGAUUCAUUCCAUAGCGGGUGAAAGUCCCGUGCGGGUAGGACUAUUGCAAUUUACACGAUCCCAGGUACAAGCUUAAACACCACAUUGCCUAGCAUGCAAACACACGCAGGCUUUGGUGAUCAAGGCUAAUAUCCGUUCACUAGCCGUUAGUAGGCAAAUCCGAGAGGGAAAGUUGAAAAGUACUCUGAAGAGAGAGUAAAUAGUACGUGAAGCCGAUUGCAGGGAAGCUGGUGGAGUCAAGCUACGUGCUUGAGGGAUUGAUGCUGAGAGCAGGUGUGUCAUUUGUAUGCGAGUUUGGUCAACUUGGAAUAAGUUGGGCGUGUUCUGAAUGCGCUUCAAGUCAUUCUGGGUAGACUGUUUGUGGCCUUGCUCGCUUUACUACUCUCAGUAUUGUAUUCCUCGCUGCACAGGCCACAGUCGAUACGUGCAUGCGGUAUGAAGGUCUAACUGUGCUUCGGCGGGUGCAAGCUCUCCGUGUGCAGGAUGGCAGGUGCUGUCUUCAGGCCUCGUGUCUGUUGGUAGUUGUUGUGGUUUCGACCGGCUGGUCUUCAUACUGUAUUGUGCAUAUUGCCUAUGAAUGGCGCUGCUUCUUCGGAAGUAGUGCUGUGAAGAACUGUGGCUCUGAGGUAGACUUUCCACCGGACCCGUCUUGAAACACGGACCAAGGAGUUUAACAUGCGCGCAAGUCAAUGGGCAUAUUACGAAACCCAAAGGCGCAAUGAAAGUGAAAGCUUCGGCUUAGGUGUGAUCCUGGUUUGCUCCUGACAGGGCGACCGGGCGCAGCACCGGCCCGUCUCAAAAUGUUGUCAUUUUGGCCACGGUCAGAG